AUGGAUACGUCGGAAAAGAAUGUCGGAUCGAGUAGUGCAGUUUGCCAGACACAGCCUCAACAAGCGGCUUUUGCUGAUCUCUGUGGUGGGGACUCUGUCAGUCAGAAAGCUGCCCCAAUGGUUAGGACAGAAGGAGAGUCGGUGACUUUUGAAUGCAGCUAUUCCACGACUGAAAGCUAUUUCUAUCUGUUCUGGUACCGACAUUACAAGGAAAAGCAGCCGGAGUUUAUAAUUAGCAGAUACAGUCACAGUGAUAAUCCCGACAAAGGAGCAGGAUUUGAAAAUCGUUUCUCUGCUGAGCUCCAGAAAUCAAACUCAUUCACCAGUUUAUCCAUCUCUGAGCUGGUGUUGUCUGACAGCGCUGUGUAUUACUGUGCCUUCACACUCACCACAGUGAUAGACUGCACUGCAAGUCUCGUACAAAACUGA